ACUCGAUAUCUUGAAAUAUCGAUUAUUCCGUUACGGGAGUCGAGGUUUAUUCUCAAGUACUUCGUAACUGCGGUAGGUCGCGCUGUCGUCAAGCACGGUCUAGAAAUCUCUGCCCAUGACUCACGAACUAAUUUAUAUCUUCUCCACCAGAGCUGCGCUUUUGAUUGGUCCUCGUGAUGACAAUGCAUGUGACAGGAGUGGUAUUUAUAUGGAUGUUCUACUGUUCGUAUGUUAAACUGACACGUCUCUCCAAAUUGUGGUAUGGUCACGUCACGGAAGGAGGACGCAUUGGAUUCCAACAAUGCAUGUGUUUAAGGACACUACUCGGGUCUUCCCCGUCGCAAUCCGGAACAGACACGUGCGUGAAGUGUUGACGACGCGAAGGGCGCAGUCCCGUUCCACGUGAGAAAUCACUCCAGGAGGAUCACCGUCUCACAUUACGAAUAUCCAGCAACGAUGUGAUGUACUACGAAUUUCAAAAGUUCCGAUCCAAACGGCUACAGCAACUGAAGAGAUUUUCCCAGAUUACAUCCAGACGAUCUCAGAAGCAGCACCUCAGCGCUCUGUAAGACAGUGGUAACAAUGCACACCACUAAUUCCAAUCAUCAGCACGAAAUUACAGCCACAAAGUCAGUUUAAUUUGAUAUUUCAGGCUAUACGUUAAUUUAAAGUUGCCAUCUUCAGACGAAAACGUCUCCCGACAUAGAAAGAAAGUCGAUACCGACAAAUUUCCUUUCUCGCUUUCGAGUCCAAGACCGAAUUGACGUUCUAAUUUAUUUUCCAUGGGAAAUUGAUACUAAAAUCAAAAUUACCUACGCUAAAGUUUAAUACGCCAUUUUAAACAUGGAAGUGUUCAUUCGUAUAAAAAUAUUUUUUCUGCAAGGAAUCAAACAGGAUCAUUAAGAUUUCUCCAGCGUGUAAGCAAUGAGCGAUACUUUGUAAAAGGUACAGUUAGUCUUUCAAUUAUUUUUAAUGUUCAAGAUAAGCUUAACAUCAAAAUGACAAAAAAAAUCAUUUGUUUUCAGCAACUGCUAUACAGUGGACUGAUAAAUUCUACGCACAUUUCAAAGAGAACACUUAAUAUCAAAAACAAAUGUAAUAUUUUGAUUUGCGUCUAUAAAAAUAUUUGUAAUUCCAAACAAAAAAUACGUUCAAAAACCAACAGAGUCCAAUUUCACAUAGACCAGAAUAGACCGUGUGGAGUUCAUGUUUUAAAACGCUGUAACUCUGUAAAACCACGACACUUUCUUUGUAUCAUCGUUAACGAACCGAAUACGAACUGUUAAUCCCUAAUAAAAUUCGCAUUCUCUCACACGGUACAACCACUUCCAAGAUGCAAAAUGGCGGUCAGCGCACACGCCACACUCUCCGACGCAGGCCUUAAGACUACUUAAACACCGAAGCAGGACUACAAAGGCGCCGCCAAUCGGGGGAGUCUGGUAUUGAUUAAGAGGCGUCGCACGCAACCCGCACACCCUAACUGCUGUGCUGUCUAGUGUUGCUCGCAGGCACUUCAGCGACGCUUUAUACGCUACAGAGACAUCAUUAUAAACUGUUAUAUGUAUAAAACGCUAUAAAAGAGAGUUAAAUGCA